rnacentral:rRNA from 1 species
UAGUCCACGCAGUAAACGAUGAGUGCUAAUUGUCGGGAUCUUAGAGUCUCGGUGGUGAAGCUAACGCGUUAAGCACUCCGCCUGGGGAGUACGGCCGCAAGGCUAAAACUCAAAGGAAUUGACGGGGACCCGCACAAGCAGUGGAGCAUGUGGUUUAAUUCGAUGCAACGCGAGAAACCUUACCAGCUCUUGUAUCCUGGUUACGAUUUUCAGAGAUGAAUUUCUUCAGUUCGGCUGAACCAGUGACAGGUGUUGCAUGGCUGUCGUCAGCUCGUGUCGUGAGAUGUUAGGUUAAGUCCUUCAACGAGCGCAACCCUCAUCCUUAUUUGCCAUCGGGUAAUGCUGGGGACUAUAAGGAAACUGCCAACGACAAGUUGGAGGAAGUGGGGAUGAUGUCAAGUCAUCAUGGCCCUUAUGAGCUGGGCUACACACAUGCUACAAUGGUGGUCACAACGGGCUAGCAAAAGNGUAAUCUGGAGCCAAUCCUUA